GGGGGUGUUCUGGUUUCGACGGGAGUGUUUGAGGGCAUGGUUAGCGAGCCGCGGCCCCUGUACCGCGUAAAAACGGGGACAAAAAACAACUGACAAUACCGAAUUGUCUUUCGCGGCUUAAUGCCGCGCGUCGGCCCGGGCAGCCCACAGGCCCGGUUCCCGGCGUCAGCUAUGUGGGGAACGAGCGCGCCAAAGCUUUGAGGCGUUGCCCGUAAUCAUGAAGCUACCGUAGCCGGCAGCCCGCCGCGAGGCGACCGGCGAGGGGAAUCCCAAAAUCGUGGCUGCGCUCGGAGAAAACGAUGUCAGCAAGCUUUCGGACGGGGGUUCGAUUCCCCCCACCUCCACCA
rnacentral:tmRNA from 1 species